AGGAACGUAGUUUAAUUGGUAAAACGCUCGUCUCCAGAACAAGUAAUAAGAGUUCAACUCUCUUCGUUCCUG
rnacentral:tRNA from 1 species